GAUGAACGCUGGCGGCGUGCCUAAUACAUGCCAGUCGAGCGAACGGACGAGAAGCUUGCUUCUCUGAUGUUAGCGGCGGACGGGUGAGUAACACGUGGAUAACCUACCUAUAAGACUGGGAUAACUUCGGGAAACCGGAGCUAAUACCGGAUAAUAUUUUGAACCGCAUGGUUCAAAAGUAAAAGACGGUCUUGCUGUCACUUACAGAUGGAUCCGCGCUGCAUUAGCUAGUUGGUAAGGUAACGGCUUACCAAGGCAACGAUGCAUAGCCGACCUGAGAGGGUGAUCGGCCACACUGGAACUGAGACACGGUCCAGACUCCUACGGGAGGCAGCAGUAGGGAAUCUUCCGCAAUGGGCGAAAGCCUGACGGAGCAACGCCGCGUGAGUGAUGAAGGUCUUCGGAUCGUAAAACUCUGUUAUUAGGGAAGAACAUAUGUGUAAGUAACUGUGCACAUCUUGACGGUACCUAAUCAGAAAGCCACGGCUAACUACGUG
rnacentral:rRNA from 1 species